CCUCCGGGGCGCAGCAGUGAGGAAUAUUGGUCAAUGGGCGGGAGCCUGAACCAGCCAAGUCGCGUGAGGGAAGCCGGUCCUCUGGCUUGUCCCCCUCUUUUUUCUUUGCGCCCGCCCCGCCUCGUGCCGGCGGCGCGCGAGUACCCGAAGAAACAGCCUCGGCUCCCUCCGUGCCCGCCGCCGCGGUCCUCCGGCGGCUGCGCGCGUUCUCCGGCUUUCUUGGGUUUCCCGGG
rnacentral:rRNA from 1 species